AUGGCAGCGGCCGCGGCGGAGGGCGCGGCGGCGCCGGUGGCGGCGGCGAUGCGGGCGGUGCUGGCGCGGGCGGGGCGCGCGGCGGAGCGGUCCGGGCGGGCGGCGGAGGCGGUGCGGGUGGUGGCGAUCGGGAAGACCAAGCCGGUGUCGCUGCUGCGGCAGCUCUACGACGCCGGCCACCGCUCCUUCGGCGAGAACUACGUCCAGGAGUUCGUCACCAAGGCGCCGCAGCUUCCGGAAGACAUCCGGUGGCAUUUUGUUGGGCACUUGCAGAGCAACAAGGUGAAAUCGCUAGUAGCUGCCGUUCCAAAUCUUGACAUGGUUGAGGGUGUAGGUAAUGAAAAGAUUGCUAAUCAUCUGGAUCGUGCUGUCGUUAGCUUGGGGAGGGAGCCUUUGAAAGUUAUGGUGCAAGUAAACACCAGUGGAGAAGAAUCAAAAUCUGGUAUCGAUCCUUCUAAAUGCGUGGAGCUUGCUAAGCAUGUGAAACUAGCUUGCCCAAACUUAAUACUGUCAGGACUCAUGACAAUAGGGAUGAAAGAUUACUCCUCAACACCGGAAAAUUUUAAGGCAUUGGCAAAUUGUAAGCUUGAAGUUUGCAAGGCCCUCGGGAUACCGACAGAACAAUUCGAACUCUCCAUGGGAAUGUCCGGUGACUUUGAGCAAGCGAUAGAGCUGGGCAGCACAAAUGUGAGGGUUGGGUCAACAAUAUUCGGACCAAGGGAGUAUCCAAACCAAAAGCAGAAUUGA
rnacentral:rRNA from 1 species